GAUGAACGCUGGCGGCGUGCCUAAUACAUGCAAGUCGAGCGAACAGACGAGGAGCUUGCUCCUCUGACGUUAGCGGCGGACGGGUGAGUAACACGUGGAUAACCUACCUAUAAGACUGGGAUAACUUCGGGAAACCGGAGCUAAUACCGGAUAAUAUAUUGAACCGCAUGGUUCAAUAGUGAAAGACGGUGUUGCUGUCACUUAUAGAUGGAUCCGCGCCGCAUUAGCUAGUUGGUAAGGUAACGGCUUACCAAGGCAACGAUGCGUAGCCGACCUGAGAGGGUGAUCGGCCACCCUGGAACUGAGACACGGUCCAGACUCCUACGGGAGGCCGCAGUAGGGAAUCUUCCGCAAUGGGCGAAAGCCUGACGGAGCAACGCCGCGUGAGUGAUGAAGGUCUUCGGAUCGUAAAACUCUGUUAUUAGUGAAGAACCAAUGUGUAAGUAACUAUGCACGUCUUGACGGUACCUAAUCAGAAAGCCACGGCUAACUACGUG
rnacentral:rRNA from 1 species